AUUGAACGCUGGCGGCAGGCCUAACACAUGCAAGUCGAGCGGCAGCGGAAAGUAGCUUGCUACUUUGCCGGCGAGCGGCGGACGGGUGAGUAAUGUCUGGGAAACUGCCUGCUGGAGGGGGAUAACUACUGGAAACGGUAGCUAAUACCGCAUAACGUCGCAAGACCAACGAGGGGGACCUUCGGGCCUCUUGCCAUCAGAUGUGCCCAGAUGGGAUUAGCUAGUAGGUGGGGUAACGGCUCACCUAGGCGACGAUCCCUAGCUGGUCUGAGAGGAUGACCAGCCACACUGGAACUGAGACACGGUCCAGACUCCUACGGGAGGCAGCAGUGGGGAAUAUUGCACAAUGGGCGCAAGCCUGAUGCAGCCAUGCCGCGUGUAUGAAGAAGGCCUUCGGGUUGUAAAGUACUUUCAGCGGGGAGGAAGGUGUUGAGGUUAAUAACCUCAGCAAUUGACGUUACCCGCAGAAGAAGCACCGGCUAACUCCGUGCCAGCAGCCGCCGUAA
rnacentral:rRNA from 1 species